rnacentral:rRNA from 1 species
GACGAACGCUGGCGGCGUGCUUAACACAUGCAAGUCGAACGGUGAAGCGCCUUCCUUUUUGGUGGGUGUGGAUGAGUGGCGAACGGGUGAGUAACACGUGAGUAACCUGCCCCCUUCUUCUGGAUAACCGCAUGAAAGUGUGGCUAAUACGGGAUAUUCUGGGUCUGUCGCAUGAUGGGUCUGGGAAAGAUAUUGUUUCGGUGGGGGAUGGGCUCGCGGCCUAUCAGCUUGUUGGUGGGGUGAUGGCCUACCAAGGCGGUGACGGGUAGCCGGCCUGAGAGGGUGGCCGGUCACACUGGGACUGAGACACGGCCCAGACUCCUACGGGAGGCAGCAGUGGGGAAUAUUGCACAAUGGGCGCAAGCCUGAUGCAGCGACGCCGCGUGAGGGAUGGAGGCCUUCGGGUUGUGAACCUCUUUCGCCAGUGAAGCAGGCCUGCCUCGUUUGUGGGUGGGUUGACGGUAGCUGGAUAAGAAGCGCCGGCUAACUACGUG